UCCUCCACCCCUUGGUGUCCGCCUACAGCCCUCCCUCCCUCGUGGCGCCGCCCUCCGCCCAUUCCUCCUCCCGCGCCCUCCCAUGGCGGCGGCGCCCUAGCAGCUCCAUCCUCCUCCCCUCCCUUCAGCCUCUCAGAUCCACUCGGGCGGCGCAGCCCUCCUGCAGGGAAUUUUUUUCCCGGCGCAGCCAGUCGUCGCAGCACCCUCCCACCCCAACGGUGCUGAGGGCGAGCUCCGACGGGCGGGUGCCGGGGCCAAGUUCCAGCGGCGCGCCCAAGGGCGGGCAUUGAGGGCGAGCUUCGGGCGGGUGCCGGGGUCAAGCUCCGGCGGCGCACCCAAGGGCGGGCAUUGACGACGAGCUCCGACGGGCAGGUGCUGGGGUCAAGCUCCGGCGGCGCGCCCAAGGGUCGUGCAGUCUGUUAAGAUCCAGCAGGUGUGCCCCCGGCGGCUUCAGCUGCGGCCUCUCCUUGGGACUGCGAGGGCUCAAGGCCUGCGGGUGUGCAGGUGCUCUCACCCUCCGCGUCAGGCAGCACGCGAGGCUCCGAGAAUGGAGAUCUCCUCUUCUGGAUCUAGCGCCCCACCCUCAACGAGUCCAGUUUCUGUCCAUCGAUGUCAAGUCUGAAGCGUGCUCAUCAGACUGCAGGUUCCAGUUCGAAUCCAUAUAAGGAGUGUUGAUUAGGUCAGGCAUCAGUUACUCUUUAGUCCUUAUCUAUUUUGAAUUAGAAAAGAAUGUUUGGAUGAUGCAGAAGAGAUGAACGAUUCCUGACCAAAGAUGGUAAUUCUAUCUCUCUUGGUUUCUCUGUCAACUACCUUUCCUCUGAGUUUGUGAGUGAUAAAUUAUAUCUUCAACCUUAAGUGAUAAACUACAUUUCCUCUUGCUGUCUUUUCAGUAUCAUAUUGACACUGAUCUCACAAUCUUCUUUAAUUUUGCUUUCAGAUGUAGUAGUAGAUUUAUGAGUUCUGAAGAUCAAUUCAGGCUAUGGUUGUGCUGGGACCAACGUCCUUGGAGGGGGCUUUGGCCAUACUGCUAAACCUUUUGCAAGUUCUUCUCCGGCUAGCUACAUCAAAUAUCUGUGGAUCUUCUUCAAGCCUCAAAGCUGAUGCGCUGGUGUCGACAGGACUGGCUGAAUUGGGCUACAACUAUUUAAAUAUUGGUAUACCACUUGGCUCAAUUCAGCAGAUUGUUGCAUCAAGGCAAGGGACUUUUGUCUAGAAAAAAAUAAUCAUACUCUUGUUUAUUGCUCGCUUCCACAAUGAUGCAAUAUUAUUAUAUGAAAAUAUUUUU